GUCACACCUUCUACCGUCCAAGUACUUGUUUCGUAUUACAGUCGUCUGCACCUACAAAAGACCCACACAAAGUGAGCUUGGCACUGACGGAAGGAGGGAACAUACAGUUGUUGUCCUGCACCUGUCCUGCCGGGGAGUAUCACAAAUGCAAGCACUCCGUUGCGGUGCUUUUGCACAUUAAUAGGGUGCAAAGGAUGACCAAAUUGUCUUCCACAGACAAGCCACAGGCGUGAGGACGCCUAGCAAAGGCUGUAGUGCAGGAAAAGUCUGCACCUAAGAAUGUAGUGCAUCUUCCUUUUUGCGCAAAGUAUGAAGUCCCAAGGUUGCCACGUCCAAGAAGCGGGGCGCCGGAGCGACUGGUGGCAAAGCUGCCGCAUGUACCACAGACUGAAAUGUACUUGUGAAAAAGGCGAACAGGAGCAAAUUUUGAGGACAAGGAUUCCACUGAGCACCCAAGCAAGCAGCCUGCACCGUCGCUUCCACCCACCAUGUCCGAGCUCCUCUCUGCCACGGAACACACACCGUGCAGUGCCUUUCUAGAGGACAUCAGUGUCAUAUACGACGAGAAUGCCAUCAGCAGUAUUGAAAGGAUCACGAGAGAGCAGUCUUUUUGUUCUUCAUGGAAAGAAUAUCGAAGGGGAAUGGCAACAAGUUCAAAUCUGCACGCCUUCCUGACAAAAGCAAGAAAGUUGACGAAGGAGGCACGACCCCAUAACCUAGGAAGCAUUGUAAGCAAUGCACUCAGAUACACCACAUACCAGUCACCCUGCAUGAAGAAUGGCAUUGAGAGAGAAGCAGAUGCCAGGAGAAGGUAUAUCGAAGUGUACAGAGCCAGGGACACAUUGUGGAAGUAUCACAAAGUGGAUUUACUUUUUCGCAACAGUGUCCGGUAAUGGGAUGCUCCCGUGACGGAAUUGUGAAUUUCCACUGUUGCUGCUGUGAGGGAGUUCAGAAGGUUCUGGAAAUUAAGUUCCCUCAGAAGAUAGAAAACAGUUGUACGAACUUAAAGCCGAAGCCAUCACAUUUUACACAGAUCCAAGUCAUAAUGGACAUCUUUGGCAUAAAUGCAUGCGAUUUUUUUGUCCUCAAGAAU